AUCAUCUUCUUCCACUCCUUUCUUCCAGAUUUUUCUGCAACUCUCACUGAACGUAUGAAGCUUUGCAAGAUAAUCUUUCUACUUCUCCUCUGUCAUUAGGUAUUUCUGAUUCUGACUUCAUCCAGAUUAAGUACUUCAACAAUGGAUUUUGAGGCUCGGAUCGUUUGAACAUUCUCUAAAGUUCGCUAUUGUACUUUUAAGAUUCAUGAGAAAAUAGAAGACAGCUGGGAUGGGAAGAGAUAAUCAAGAAGGGUGGAUAUAUCAGCUUAUCCGGGAUCAGGUGCGAAUGAUCGUUAUAUGCUAAUGCCUUGACAAGGGAUCUGUUGAGUUUCACAUAACUUUAUAUAACUAAUACCUGGAAAAUAUUGAAUAUGCAACCAUCUAUGUACAUUCUAUCAAACACAUAAUAUACUUGGAUUUUCUUUUAUUGUAUGUGCCUAAAUAAUGGCUAACUUGGUUGUAUCUGGAGUUGAUAAUACUUUUGUUGAUUUACUACUUUGAGUACGUGAAUAUACGGUUUUGCCGCCGCAAAGCGCGGCAUGGCUAAA